rnacentral:rRNA from 1 species
AUUGAACGCUGGCGGCAGGCCUAACACAUGCAAGUCGAACGAGUGGCGGACGGGUGAGUAAUGUCUGGGAAACUGCCUGAUGGAGGGGGAUAACUACUGGAAACGGUAGCUAAUACCGCAUACCAUCAGAUGUGCCCAGAUGGGAUUAGCUUGUUGGUGGGGUAAUGGCUCACCAAGGCGACGAUCCCUAGCUGGUCUGAGAGGAUGACCAGCCAGACUGGAACUGAGACACGGUCCAGACUCCUACGGGAGGCAGCAGUGGGGAAUAUUGCACAAUGGGCGCAAGCCGGAUACAGCCAUGCCGCGUGUGUGAAGAAGGCCUUCGGGUUGUAAAGUACUUUCAGCGAGGAGGCGUUACCCGCAGAAGAAGCACCGGCUAACUCCGUGCCAGCAGCCGCGGUAAUAC